AGCUAGGCUGUUCAUUUUGAGAUGUUGACCAACGACGUUAGUCAGAGUUCUGAUACUGAUUCCAGUGAAGAGUUUGAGCUUAUAUACCGACGCUUUGCUACAAUUUCGAAAGGGAACCGAAUCCACACAAAGGUUUGGGCAAUUUCGAUUGCUUGCUUUUGAUCACUUCUUCAUCCAACACGAUGAAUCCGUCCAUCAUGCCGACGAAAACCAUCUGGCGUUCUUCCUCGCCAGCUGGAUUUGCUGAAGAAGCGCCAAAGACUACGACAAAACAGUAAAAUAGUUCAUGGUGAAUCCGGUCAAGGUUGUCGGAAUUCUGAUGCGGAAACGAAGAAGGAUUUUGAACUUAUAUAGCCUAGCGAAGUAAACCCUACUGG